rnacentral:rRNA from 1 species
CAGCCGCCACGGGAAUACGUAGGGUGCAAGCGUUAAUCGGAAUUACUGGGCGUAAAGCGUGCGCAGGGGGUUUGUUAAGACAGAUGUGAAAUCCCCGGGCUCAACCUGGGAACUGCAUUUGUGACUGGCAAGCUAGAGUGUGGCAGAGGGGGGUGGAAUUCCGCGUGUAGCAGUGAAAUGCGUAGAUAUGCGGAGGAACACCGAUGGCGAAGGCAGCCCCCUGGGCCAACACUGACGCUCAUGCACGAAAGCGUGGGGAGCAAACAGGAUUAGAUACCCCCGUAGUCCCUGUCUCUUAUAC